CCUACGGGUGGCUGCAGUGAGGAAUAUUGGUCAAUGGACGAGAGUCUGAACCAGCCAAGUAGCGUGAAGGAUGACUGCCCUAUGGGUUGUAAACUUCUUUUAUAUGGGAAUAAAAUGUUCCACGUGUGGGAUUUUGUAUGUACCAUAUGAAUUAGGAUAGGCUAACUCCGUGCCAGCAGCCGCGGUAAUACGGGGGAUCCGAACGUUAUCCGGAUUUUUUUGGUUUAAAGGGAGCGUAGGUGGUUUGUAAAGUCAGUUGUGAAAGUUUGCGGUUAAACCGUAAAUUGCAGUUGACACUGGCAGUCUUGAGUACAGUAGAGGUGGGCGGAAUUCGUGGUGUAGCGGUGAAAUGCUUAGAUAUCACGAAGAACUCCGAUUGCGAAGGCAGCUCACUGGACUGCAACUGACACUGAGGCUCGAAAGUGUGGGUAUCAAACAGGAUUAGAUACCCCGGUAGUC
rnacentral:rRNA from 1 species